rnacentral:rRNA from 1 species
AUUGAACGCUGGCGGCAUGCCUUACACAUGCAAGUCGAACGGUAACGGGCCUUCGGGUGCCGACGAGUGGCGAACGGGUGAGUAAUACAUCGGAACGUGCCCGAUCGUGGGGGAUAACGAGGCGAAAGCUUUGCUAAUACCGCAUACGAUCUACGGAUGAAAUCAGGGGACCGCAAGGCCUUGCGCGGACGGAGCGGCCGAUGGCAGAUUAGGUAGUUGGUGGGAUAAAAGCUUACCAAGCCGACGAUCUGUAGCUGGUCUGAGAGGAUGAUCAGCCACACUGGGACUGAGACACGGCCCAGACUCCUACGGGAGGCAGCAGUGGGGAAUUUUGGACAAUGGGCGCAAGCCUGAUCCAGCCAUGCCGCGUGCAGGAUGAAGGCCUUCGGGUUGUAAACUGCUUUUGUACGGAACGAAAAGCCUUCUUUUAAUACAGGAGGGUCAUGACGGUACCGGAAGAAUAAGCACCGGCUAACUACGUG